rnacentral:rRNA from 1 species
GACGAACGCUGGCGGCGUGCCUGACACAUGCAAGUCGGACGGUUCUUGUACCUUCAAGCUUGCUUGUUGGUGCAAGGAUAGUGGCGGACGGGUGAGUAACGCGUGAACAUCUACCCAUUGGAGGGGGACAACCCGUCGAAAGGCGGGCUAAUACCGCGUAAGCCGCGAGGUGAGAGGCUGCCUAUUGGUGGCCGCCGAUGGAUGGGGUUCGCGUCCUAUCAGCUGGUUGGUGGGGUAACGGCCUACCAAGGCGAAGACGGGUAGCCGGUCUGAGAGGAUGGCCGGCCACACUGGAACUGAGACACGGUCCAGACUCCUACGGGAGGCAGCAGUGGGGAAUCUUGCGCAAUGGGGGAAACCCUGACGCAGCAACGCCGCGUGAGUGAGGAAGGCCUUCGGGUCGUAAAGCUCUGUCAGAUAGGGAGAAUAGGAUGGGGCGUAAUAUCGCCCAUCCUUGACGGUACCAUCAGAGGAAGCACCGGCUAACUCCGUGCCACGCAGCCGAC